rnacentral:lncRNA from 1 species
UCACUAAAUAUUUCCCACUAACCCCCCAUUUCCACGUACCUUCAUUCAUGUUUGUUUACCUCUAGUCUCAUUUUCUCGCAACCCUAAUUCCCCUUCCCUGCAUCGUUUAUUCACAUCCAUUGGACUUUAGUUCAUGUCUUGAAGGCUUAUAUUCACAUCUUCAUGGCUUGUGUUGGUGUCUUAGUUGUCUUUCUUCACAGUGUGUAAAGUUCUUGUUCAGAGGCUCUUGAGUUUGGCUUCGUCAAUCGUUCACUUUGUAACAUUUCACCUUCUUCAAAUACCUAAGUCUUUGGUCUUCCCCUACUUGAAAUUCAUCUUCCAUCUAUCUUCCAAA